CGGGACCUCAGGUCAGGCGGGGCUACCCGCUGAGUU
rnacentral:rRNA from 1 species